rnacentral:rRNA from 1 species
UACGUAGGGCGCAAGCGUUAUCCGGAAUUAUUGGGCGUAAAGAGCUCGUAGGCGGUUUGUCGCGUCUGCCGUGAAAGUCCGGGGCUCAACUCCGGAUCUGCGGUGGGUACGGGCAGACUAGAGUGAUGUAGGGGAGACUGGAAUUCCUGGUGUAGCGGUGAAAUGCGCAGGAUAUCAGGAGGAACACCGAUGGCGAAGGCAGGUCUCUGGGCAUUAACUGACGCUGAGGAGCGAAAGCAUGGGGGAGCGAACAGG